CCGCCAUAUUGUGACAGAAAUUUCCAUGUUGAGGUGAAGUUUUCGCGCUUUUUCGCCUUAUUUCCCUUAGGGCUGGAUGAACACGCGACACUAGAGUGAUCUUAAGAGCCGGGGGAUACAGAAAAGUCGAGAAAAGGGCUCAACCAGGUGUCGGGAUGGAGUCUGAGGACAGUGGAGGAGGGACAGGAGACACCUCGACCUAUCAGGUCCUGGCCGCCUCAAGGAUCACUCGUACCCAAAGCAGAUCUGUCAGUUUGAUGAGCCCUCCCUGUCCAUCCCCUUCGUGCCCUGGCAGAAGAGAAUUGCACAGUUUUGUGGGCCGCACAGCAGAUGGCCUCAUGGCCCU